UACAGCCAUAUUAUAUUGAAACACCAGUUCUUGUAUGAUCGCCAAAGUUAAGCCACGUCAAGGCUGGUCAGUAGCUAGAUGGGUGACUGCUUGAGAACACCAGGUACUGUAA